rnacentral:rRNA from 1 species
AUUGAACGCUGGCGGCAUGCUUUACACAUGCAAGUCGAACGGCAGCGCGGGCUUCGGCCUGGCGGCGAGUGGCGAACGGGUGAGUAAUACAUCGGAACGUGCCCAGUAGUGGGGGAUAGCUCGGCGAAAGCCGGAUUAAUACCGCAUACGACCUGAGGGUGAAAGCGGGGGAUCUUCGGACCUCGCGCUAUUGGAGCGGCCGAUGGCAGAUUAGCUAGUUGGUGGGGUAAAGGCCUACCAAGGCGACGAUCUGUAGCUGGUCUGAGAGGACGACCAGCCACACUGGGACUGAGACACGGCCCAGACUCCUACGGGAGGCAGCAGUGGGGAAUUUUGGACAAUGGGCGAAAGCCUGAUCCAGCAAUGCCGCGUGUGUGAUGAAGGCCUUCGGGUUGUAAAGCACUUUUGGCGGGAACGAAAGGACUGUGCCAAUACCACGGUUCGAUGACGGUACCCGCAGAAUAAGCACCGGCUAACUACGUG